rnacentral:lncRNA from 1 species
UGGGGCUUCAUAGCUAAAGGAAAUCUGUUUUUGGUGUAAGGUUCCUUUCUCUUUCUCUUCCUAUCUCUCUAUUUGCAUCUAUUUAUAAAAUGGCCUCUAUUUCAUUUUCGACACUGCAAAUGCCCAUAAAAUGGUGCUAUUUGUUCCACUGGUGUUUUGGAAAUCUGGUGCAAACUAUCAGUUUAUUUUUGAAUUUGAAUCUUUAAGCCACUGCUUCAGCAAUAGCCACUGGUACUUUUUUUUUAAAAAACUUUAUUUAAUCUUCAAAUGUGCAGUGGAUUAUUGUUCUCAGAUAAUAUUUGGAAAAGGAGCUUGUAAAUGCACCUGCUAAUAUGCUCACCAUUGGUUAGUAAUCUUUCACACUUCUGCAUCUUUUUCCUAUAUUUGAUUUAACCAUUUUUUUUAGACUUACUACUGGAGUUGGUUACUUUAUCAAGCUUUAGUAUACAUCAUAUUAAUUAAAACCACAUCAUAGAUAAUUUAGAAUGGAAUGGACCACCCUUCUAAAUAUAUGCCAUGUACACAGAUAUGAUUACUGUUUCUAUUGGAUUUCGUAUACUAGGCAUGUCAAGUUGUGAACAAAUCCAGAAAUGAAUGAGAUGUUCUGCACUAGCUAUCAGAUUAAAAUGAUGGCAGCUUUGGCCAGACAUAUUUGAAACCUUGUGUUGGACAUCAUUUGGAUAUGCAGCUAAUCACCGGAAGGUGUUUCAAAACUUACUUAACAUGCUUCAAACUUUAUUUAUAGGGUGAUUUCUAGUCUUGCUAAAAAACUAACGUUUGGCUGGAUUUUGUGUUUAAAUUUAAUUUUCUAGAAUUUGUUAUAGUCCACAUUAAGGUUGGCACAUAAGAUCAGACUGAUGUUGUUACUAUUAUUUAUUUAUCUCUGUUGUCAAUGCAAUAGGUAAUGUUUAUGUAAGAUAUCAUUUCUUUAUUGAUCUCAUUACAUGUUUUUUUAAUGCUUAUACAGAUGCAACCAAAAAGAAAGUCGAAGCACGUGUCACCUGCUAUUCCUCCAAACUCAUGCAAUGGAAGUCCAUCUCAUUGUGGGCAAGGACAACACUCUAAUAAAUUACACAUUCCUAUGUCAACACUUUCUACAGCUCAAUUUGAUGCAAAUAGGACAACUUAAUCAAGUGUUGGAAGUUAUAAUUCAUCUUUUUGUGGUUAAAUAUUAGUCAUUUAGGGUUAUUAAUAAUUGAAAUAUGUGCGAUACAAUUUUACUUCUAUGGUGAUACGUUUCUUUUCAAA